GAUGAACGCUGGCGGCGUGCCUAAUACAUGCAAGUCGAGCGAACGGACGAGAAGCUUGCUUCUCUGAUGUUAGCGGCGGACGGGUGAGUAACACGUGGAUAACCUACCUAUAAGACUGGGAUAACUUCGGGAAACCGGAGCUAAUACCGGAUAAUAUUUUGAACCGCAUGGUUCAAAAGUGAAAGACGGUCUUGCUGUCACUUAUAGAUGGAUCCGCGCUGCAUUAGCUAGUUGGUAAGGUAACGGCUUACCAAGGCAACGAUGCAUAGCCGACCUGAGAGGGUGAUCGGCCACACUGGAACUGAGACACGGUCCAGACUCCUACGGGAGGCAGCAGUAGGGAAUCUUCCGCAAUGGGCGAAAGCCUGACGGAGCAACGCCGCGUGAGUGAUGAAGGUCUUCGGAUCGUAAAACUCUGUUAUUAGGGAAGAACAUAUGUGUAAGUAACUGUGCACAUCUUGACGGUACCUAAUCAGAAAGCCACGGCUAACUACGUGCCAGCAGCCGCGGUAAUACGUAGGUGGCAAGCGUUAUCCGGAAUUAUUGGGCGUAAAGCGCGCGUAGGCGGUUUUUUAAGUCUGAUGUGAAAGCCCACGGCUCAACCGUGGAGGGUCAUUGGAAACUGGAAAACUUGAGUGCAGAAGAGGAAAGUGGAAUUCCAUGUGUAGCGGUGAAAUGCGCAGAGAUAUGGAGGAACACCAGUGGCGAAGGCGACUUUCUGGUCUGUAACUGACGCUGAUGUGCGAAAGCGUGGGGAUCAAACAGGAUUAGAUACCCUGGUAGUCCACGCCGUAAACGAUGAGUGCUAAGUGUUAGGGGGUUUCCGCCCCUUAGUGCUGCAGCUAACGCAUUAAGCACUCCGCCUGAGGAGUACGACCGCAAGGUUGAAACUCAAAGGAAUUGACGGGGACCCGCACAAGCGGUGGAGCAUGUGGUUUAAUUCGAAGCAACGCGAAGAACCUUACCAAAUCUUGACAUCCUUUGACAACUCUAGAGAUAGAGCCUUCCCCUUCGGGGGACAAAGUGACAGGUGGUGCAUGGUUGUCGUCAGCUCGUGUCGUGAGAUGUUGGGUUAAGUCCCGCAACGAGCGCAACCCUUAAGCUUAGUUGCCAUCAUUAAGUUGGGCACUCUAAGUUGACUGCCGGUGACAAACCGGAGGAAGGUGGGGAUGACGUCAAAUCAUCAUGCCCCUUAUGAUUUGGGCUACACACGUGCUACAAUGGACAAUACAAAGGGCAGCGAAACCGCGAGGUCAAGCAAAUCCCAUAAAGUUGUUCUCAGUUCGGAUUGUAGUCUGCAACUCGACUACAUGAAGCUGGAAUCGCUAGUAAUCGUAGAUCAGCAUGCUACGGUGAAUACGUUCCCGGGUCU
rnacentral:rRNA from 1 species